AUUGAACGCUGGCGGCAGGCCUAACACAUGCAAGUCGAGCGGCAGCGGGAAAGUAGCUUGCUACUUUUGCCGGCGAGCGGCGGACGGGUGAGUAAUGCCUGGGGAUCUGCCCAGUCGAGGGGGAUAACUACUGGAAACGGUAGCUAAUACCGCAUACGCCCUACGGGGGAAAGCAGGGGACCUUCGGGCCCUGCGCGAUUGGAUGAACCCAGGUGGGAUUAGCUAGUUGGUGGGGUAACGGCUCACCAAGGCGACGAUCCCUAGCUGGUCUGAGAGGAUGAUCAGCCACACUGGAACUGAGACACGGUCCUGACUCCUACGGGAGGCAGCAGUGGGGAAUAUUGCACAAUGGGGGAAACCCUGAUGCAGCCAUGCCGCGUGUGUGAAGAAGGCCUUCGGGUUGUAAAGCACUUUCAGCGAGGAGGAAAGGUUGGUAGCUAAUAACUGCCAGCUGUGACGUUACCCGCAGAAGAAGCACCGGCUAACUCCGUGCCAGCCGCCGCCGUAAGAC
rnacentral:rRNA from 1 species